rnacentral:ribozyme from 13 species
UCAUCUGAGGCACCCGUCACAUUGUUGAUGGUGUUGAGCAAAACGGCGGCGAGAGCGGGGAGGCAUAGAGACAGAAACGCCA